CAUGUAGGCGGUUGUUUAAGUCUGAUGUCGAAAGCCCUGGGCUCAACCCAGGAAGUGCAUUGGAUACUGGGCAACUUGAGUACGGGAGAGGAAAGUGGAAUUUCGAGUGUAGGGGUGAAAUCCGUAGAUAUUCGAAGGAACACCAGUGGCGAAGGCGGCUUUCUGGACCGAUACUGACGCUGAGAUGCGAAAAGCGUGGGGAGCAAACA
rnacentral:rRNA from 1 species